UACAGAGGUCUCAAGCGUUGUUCGGAUUCAUUGGGCGUAAAGGGUGCGUAGGCGGCGCGGUAAGUCGGGUGUGAAAUUUCGAGGCUUAACUUCGAAACUGCAUUCGAUACUGCCGUGCUUGAGGACUGGAGAGGAGACUGGAAUUUACGGUGUAGCGGUGAAAUGCGUAGAUAUCGAUAAGGAAGACCAGUGGCGAAGGCGGGUCUCUGGACAGUUCCUGACGCUGAGGCACGAAGGCCAGGGGAGCAAACGGG
rnacentral:rRNA from 1 species